rnacentral:rRNA from 1 species
UACGAAGGGGGCUAGCGUUGUUCGGAAUUACUGGGCGUAAAGCGCACGUAGGCGGAUAUUUAAGUCAGGGGUGAAAUCCCAGAGCUCAACUCUGGAACUGCCUUUGAUACUGGGUAUCUUGAGUAUGGAAGGAGGUAAGUGGAAUUGCGAGUGUAGAGGUGAAAUUCGUAGAUAUUCGCAGGAACACCAGUGGCGAAGGCGGCUUACUGGUCCAUAACUGACGC